GAUGGUGUCCAAAAGAUUCAAAGCUCUCGAGAUAGACUGCAUUAGGGCACUGAACUGAGUAGAAGCAUGUUCACUUGAGCCCCUGAUUUCUCUCCUCAAGAAGUCAAAAUCACUCUCUAAGACUCCUCGAAGUCUGGCCGCCUCUGCAGAUAGGUCUGAGACCUCUAUGAUGCUCUCAUGCGGCUGUGGAUGGGCUAGAGACCUCUAUGAUGCUCUCAUGCGGCUGU
rnacentral:lncRNA from 1 species